AUCACCUGAAUCUUGUUAAAAUGCAGACUCUGAUUCAUUAGGUCUGAUGGGGCCUGAGAAUCUGCAUUUCUAACAAGCUCCCAGGUGCUAGUGC
rnacentral:pre_miRNA from 1 species